rnacentral:rRNA from 1 species
GAAGAGGACAGUGGAACUACAUGUGUAGCGGUGAAAUGCGUAGAUAUAUGGAAGAACACCAGUGGCGAAGGCGGCUGUCUGGUCUGUAACUGACGCUGAGACUCGAAAGCAUGGGUAGCGAACAGGAUUAGAUACCCUGGUAGUCCAUGCCGUAAACGAUGAAUGCUAGGUGUUGGAGGGUUUCCGCCCUUCAGUGCCGCAGCUAACGCAUUAAGCAGUCCGCCUGGGGAGUACGACCGCAAGGUUGAAACUCAAAGGAAUUGACGGGGGCCCGCACAAGCGGUGGAGCAUGUGGUUUAAUUCGAAGCAACGCGAAGAACCUUACCAGGUCUUGAC